rnacentral:rRNA from 1 species
GACGAACGCUGGCGGCGUGCUUAACACAUGCAAGUCGAACGGAAAGGCCUUUUCGGAGGUACUCGAGUGGCGAACGGGUGAGUAACACGUGGGUGAUCUGCCCUGCACUCUGGGAUAAGCCUGGGAAACUGGGUCUAAUACCGGAUCGGACCGCACUUUAGUGUGUGUGGUGGAAAGUUUUUUCGGUGUAGGGUGAGCCCGCGGCCUAUCAGCUUGUUGGUGGUGUAAUGGCCUACCAAGGCGGCGACGGGUAGCCGGACUCAGAGGUUGGUCGGCCACACUGGGACUGAGAGACGGCCGAGACACCGACGGGAGGCAGCAGUGGGGAAGAUUGCACAAUGGGCGCAAGCCUGAUGCAGCGACGCUGCGUGGGGGAUGACGGCCUUCGGGUUGUAAACUCCUUUCGCCAGGGACGAAGCGUUUUGUGACGGUACCUGGAGAAGAAGCACCGGCUAACUACGUG